CAUUUUAGCAUACAUGUUGACUCUGGCAGCAAUAUAUAUUCUGUACGUUGCCUAGCUCCAUUCCAACCUAUUCAUACAGGAGUGCUGUGCCUGCUUUGGAACUGCCUUGCGCUAUUUUCACAGAUUUCCUCCACUGGUCCUGAAAACUAACCACCAUGCAACGUGACAAGGUGAAAAGGAGAAAUCCCUCCAAGAUGAAAUGGGGUAGUAAAGGGAAGCAGGUAUAUCAGCUAUCCCAAGUGAAGGCCUCUCCAGAUGACUGCUGACACCACCAGGGCAAAACAGACAAGCAUCUCCUAGGACUGACACCAAUAUAACUGAUUCAGCCUUAUAGUAAGAGGAAGAACUUAAAGACUUCUCCAGAUCCUUACCAGUAUUCUGAUGAUGUAAGCAAUCAAAUGCUGUUCAAAAGAAACUCAAGCAAUAGACAACAACCUGGAAUUUUCAAGAUAUAGUGUGAGAAAACACUGGAUGAGGAGAAAAAUAAUGUUGAUAACACCCUGAUGUUUUACUUGUUGCUGAACAGUGCUGUACAGAGCCAAGGAUGCUUCAGCUUCUCACACUGUCCUGCCAGCGACAGGGGCUGAGGGGCACAAGCAGCUGGGAGGGGACAAAACCAGGACAGCUGAUCUAAACUUGCCAAAGGGAUAUUCCAUACCAUAUAACAUCAUGUGAAAAAAAAACUAUGAAAUCGAGGGGAGUUGGCUGAGGAAUGGCUGCUGUUCAGGGCCUGGUUGGGUAUUGGUUGGUGGGUGGUGAGCAACGUGCUGUGUAUCCCUUGUUUUGUAAAUCUGUAAUUAUCGUGACUAUUAUUUUUCUCUUCCUUUUCUGUCAUAGUAGAUAGUUGUUUUUUUUAUCUCAACCUACGAGUUUUACUUCUUUUUUCACUUACAGUUCUCUCCCACAUCCCUCAGUGUGGAGGGUGAUGGUAGAAUGGCUAAGUGGUUCUGAGCUGCUUCCAGGUUAAACCACAGCACUUCUAUUUGAAAUUGUCUUCCUACUUUAAGUAAUGUUCCUAGUUUAAGUAAUGUUCCUACUGAUAACAUAACCAGUGAAAUUGUUCCAUAUCAAAGAUAAAUAUAUAUUUAUAUAUAUAUAUAAUUCUACAUAACCUGUUAAUUUUUUGUUGUUGUUGUUUUAAUGAAUAAACAUUUUGGUCUAUAUAUUUGUCAAAGUUUUCUCCUGGCUUUACGAGUCUAACACAUGCAAUCUAUCGGUCACUGAGAGCUCAUUUGCUGCAGUAACGUUCUUUGACUGCUACAAAGAGGGGAGAGGGGGGGGGAUGGACCAGCAAUUUUUUGAAAUGUUAUUCCAUGGCAAAUUUGGCCAAAGAAUAUGCUGUACUUAAACCAUGACUGCAGGAUAGCAUACACAUACCUCAUUGCUUGCAGCAGUUUUUUCAUUUGGCCCUCACUCAUUUUCU
ensembl:lncRNA